rnacentral:rRNA from 1 species
UACGGGGGGAGCAAGCGUUGUUCGGUUUUACUGGGCGUAAAGGGCGCGUAGGCGGCCACCGCAAGUCGACUGUGAAAUCUCCGGGCUUAACCCGGAAAGGUCAGCCGAUACUGCGGGGCUAGAGUGCAGAAGGGGCAACUGGAAUUCCUGGUGUAGCGGUGAAAUGCGCAGAUAUCAGGAGGAACACCGGUGGCGAAGGCGGGUCUCUGGGCCGAUACUGACGCUGAGGAGCGAAAGCGUGGGGAGCGAACAGG